rnacentral:rRNA from 1 species
UACGAAGGGGGCUAGCGUUGUUCGGAAUCACUGGGCGUAAAGGGCGCGUAGGCGGCUUUGUAAGUCGGGGGGUGAAAAGCCUGUGGCUCAACCACAGAAUUGCCUUCGAUACUGCAUGGCUUGAGACCGGAAGAGGUAAGUGGAACUGCGAGUGUAGAGGUGAAAUUCGUAGAUAUUCGCAAGAACACCAGUGGCUGAAGGCGGC